rnacentral:rRNA from 1 species
AGUCAUAUGCUUGUCUCAAAGAUUAAGCCAUGCAUGUCUAAGUCCAAGCUGUGUUCACACGGCGAGACCGCGGACGGCUCAUUAAAUCAGUCGUGGUCCAAAUGGGCCAGUGCAAAUCCUACUUGGAUAACUGUGGUAAUUCCAGAGCUAAUACAUGCAACUGAUAUCCCGAAGGCGGUGUUGGGGCUUGCUUGCCUUGCGCUGCGCUGCUCUGACGGAUGCUUUUAUUAGACCAAGCCGCUGAGGACUUGAGGGUUCGCGCUCUCUUGUUUGACUCGUGUGAUGGUGACUCUGGAUAACCAAAUUCUGACAAGCGCACGUACUUCUCUUCUGAGCGAGACGGCGCUGCCACUUUCGAGUGUCUGCCUUAUCAGCUAUCAACCGUUCGUUAUGCGCGACCGAUGGCUUUGACGGGUAACGGGGAAUCAGGGUUCGAUUCCGGAGAGGCAGCCUGAGAGACGGCUACCACGUCCAAGGACGGCAGCAGGCACGCAAAUUACCCAAUCCCAGCAAAUGGGGGAGGUAGUGACGAAAUCUAACGAUGCGGGCGCCCUUUCUGGGGCCCCGCAAUCGGAAUGGGCACUUUCUAAACAACCUGUUGAGAACCUACUG